AUCUGAUAUGUGGGCUGGAUCUGACAGCAUGACUUACUAGUGCAGAGGUGGUGCUAGAGAGGUGGUAAUCAAAAAAGAAACAGGUGAGAUUUACUUGCCAUUUUAUGGCUUUAACCUGAGUCUCAAUGCCAAAGAUCCAUCAGCCCUAACAAGGAACCAUGUUGUCACUUACAGGAAUCAAGCUGCAUUUCUGUACAGAGAUGAGAAUGCAGGUGGGGUGGCAGAUGUGCGCCACUGCAACAGGUACCUUCUCAUUUAAUGGCAGACACCUGAUAUAUGGCAUGCGAACUUGCUGCCACCGUCCAUCAACUGGAGCUUGAGCUACUGGAGCUCCAACUGGAGCUGGAGCUACUGGAGCUACUCCAACUGGAGCUGGAGCUACUGGAGCUACUGAGGUCUCUGUGCCUCUGUCCUUGACCCCACGCCAGAGUUCCCAUCUUGAAUUGCAAGACCAUGUAUGUGCCAAUGUAGAGCAGGGCUGAGUGUUAGACUGAGGAAACCAGGGUUCAAAUCCCCCCACUCAGCCACAGAGGUUGUUCUGUGACCUUGGGCCAGCCACUCUCUCUCUCUCAGGCUAGCCUACCUCAAAGUGUUGUUGAGAAACUGAAGGCAGGGGGAGAGGGCUUGCUAGAAAGGGAGAGAUGAUGAAAAAAGUUAAAUAUCUGGGUGUUAAUUUGUCGGUGAAAAAUUUGAACUUAUAUAAAGAUAAUUAUGAGAAAUUAUGGAAUGAAAUUAAGAGAGAUCUGGAGAUUUGGUCGAAUUUAAAAUUGUCAUUAAUGGGCCGGAUUUCUGUGGUUAAGAUGAACGUACUGCCAAAGAUGUUGUUUCUGCUCCAAGCCCUCCCAAUUACUGACAAUGUGAAAUGUUUUAAAGAAUGGCAGAAAGUUUUAUCUAGAUUUAUCUGGCAGGGGGGGAAACCCAGAAUUAAAUAUAAAUUAUUAACAGAUUCUAAAGACAGAGGGGGUUUCUCCCUGCCAGAUUUGAAGAUUUAUUUUGAAGCCGCAGCCUUUUUUUGGGUUAAGGAAUGGAUACAAUUAGAUAAUUCAGAUGUUUUAGACUUGGAGGGAUUUGACAAUGUGUUUGGAUGGUAUGCUUAUCUAUGGUAUGAGAAGAUAAAGGCCCAUAAUGGUUUUAAAAAUCAUGUAAUUAGAAAAUCCUUAUAUACCAUUUGGAUAAAAUAUAAAGAUCUCUUAGAAAGGAAAAUACCCAGAUGGCUGUCACCAAUGGAGGCAAAGGCCCAGAAAAAGUCAAAAAUGGAAACUAAUUGGCUGAGAUAUUCAGAUUUAUUAUUGGAAGAUAAAGAAGGAUUUAAAUGAAAACCAUUUGAUCAAAUCAAAGAUAAAACAAAUUGGUUGCAUUAUCAUCAGAUCAAUGAAUUGUAUAAAUUAGAUAAGAAAAAUGGUUUUGCAUCAGAAAAAAACAAAUUGGAAACGGAGUUGUUAGAUUCUAAAGUUAAAAAUUUGUCUAAAAUGUAUAAUCUAUUGUUGGAGUGGCAUACAAAGGAUGAACAAGUUAAAUCUGUGAUGAUAGAUUGGGCAAGAGACAUGGGACAUAACAUAAUGUUUGAAGACUGGGAAAGGUUCUGAAGGAAAGGGGUUAAGUUCACUGCAUGUACAGUGUUAAAGGAAAAUAUUAUGAAAAUGAUGUAUAGAUGGUACUUAACCCCUGUAAAACUAGCCAAUAUUUAUCACAAUAGUGAUAAUCUAUGUUGGAAAUGUAAAGAAAAAGAAGGUACCUUUUAUCAUAUGUGGUGGAACUGCCCCAAGGUGAAAGAAAGAAUUGAAAAAAAUGUUGAAAUAUACAUUUAUUAAGAAACCAGAGGCCUUUCUUCUUGGAAUAAUAGGUUUGGAAUUGCCCAAGAAAGAUGUUAGAUUGUUUUUGUAUGCCACAACGGCUGCUAGGAUUUUGUUGGCCAAAAACUGGAAAACACAAGAAGUGCCAACAGUGGAGGAAUGGCAGAUGAAGAUGAUGGACUUUUGGGAGCUAGCCGACCUGACCGGAAGAGUCUGCGACCAGAAGGAGGAGGAGUACCAGGAGGAAUGGAUGAAAUUUAAAGACUAUUUAGUUAAAUAUCUUAAGGUAACUUAAAUAGAAAUACUUGAAAAUACCAGAUUGGCUUAGGAUUUAAAUAUGUGAUGUUAUAGAAUAAUAUGUCUAAAGUUAAUAUGAAAAAAAAGAAAGAUGUUAAUUGACUAAGUAAAUUUUAUGAGAAAUUAGUUUUGGAAAACUGUUACAAUGAUAUACAUUGAAACUCAGCCAGGGGGAUUCGAGGAAGUCACCUAACAAUGUUAAUAAUAGUGGAACAAUUAUAGUUAGGAUUUAUGUUUGUUUGUUUGUUUGUUUAUAAAUUUGGAAAAUCAAUUGGAAAAAAAUUGAAAGAAAAGAAAAGAAAGGGAGAGAUGAAACAAAUAAAUAACGCACCAACAUAUUAUGAGUCAAUUUAGAACUAGAGGUAGGCAGGAAAAGGGGUUCCUCUCCCCAGUCAUCCAUGAAGGAAACUCAUAAUUAGUGCUCCAAACCAAAUAGCUGCUUUUGGACAUCACAAAAGGUAAGAGGGCUGGCCCACCUCUGACUCUUCUGUAAUUCAAGCAUCACUUCAGAGGCCUAUCAGUGACAUCACAUCAUCCAAACAUGCCUACUUCAUACCUUGUGCCCUGGGUUGUGUCUCGUAUAUAUAUAUCCUGACUGCCUGUGAGUGGGGUCUGAUUGUACCAACCUAAGCAAUACAGAGGGGAUGUGGGUGGCGCUGUGGGUUAAACCACAGAGCCUAGGACUUGCUGAUCAGAAGGUCGGCGGUUCGAAUCCCCUCGAUGGGGUGAGCUCCCGUUGUUUGGUCCCAGCUCCUGCCAACCUAGCAGUUCAAAAGUACGUCAAAGUGCAAGUAGAUAAAUAGGUACCACUCCGGCAGGAAGGUAAACGCCGUUUCCCUGCGCUGCUCUGGUUCGCCAGAAGCGGUUUAGUCAUGCUGGCCACAUGACCCGGUGUACGCCAGCUCCCUCGGCCAAUAAAGAGAGAUGAGCGCCACAACCCCAGAGUCGUUCGCGACUGGACUUAAUGGUCAGGGGUCCCUUUAUCUUUAUCUAAGCAAUACAGAGAUGGAUACCAGUGAUUUAGUGAACAUGGGUCAAUUGAAUCACAAUACAACAAUCACUUUGGGGGAGACACCAAAGGCAACUUGACAUCCCACUUUGCAUUAUACAACACUAAAUUAAACUUUGAUUAGCAUUCCGUUCUGCUGGAAUUGGCACCGGCGAUUGCUUAGAACUAAUCAACUAAGUGCUGCUCAUACUGAAACAGCUGAUAAGGGCUUGUCAAUUAAGAUCCUGGGCCGGCCUUAUCAUUAGGCAGAGUGAAGUGGCCACCUCUGGCAGCUAAAUUUGGGGUGUUGUGAAAGGGCAGCAAAUGCUUAGUCGUUUAAUUAAUUUGUUUGUUUGUCUUUUUACUGCCAGGGAAGAGGGGAGGAUUUUCUGCCUCAUAUGCCAGAGUGAUUUUGUUGGUAUUGGGUCUUAUGCACCUUGUCUGAGGGACUGAGGUGGGGGGUGGGGUUGCGCCAUCACAGCAAACAGCAAAUUGCUUUCCAGGUAUAGCAGGUUUGUACCGCACACAUGCAAAUCAAGCAGCAGACCAAAACUCCUAGCUGUUUUCUCACAGGUCAAUGAACAGCCUUUGGAUGGUGAGGAUUUGAUGGGCUUAAUUAUUGUGCAGUGACCUACUGUUCAGCAUUCAUGACCCAAGCCCCACAGCCACUUCCUGAUAUGGAGCCAUGUUUGUUUGUUUUUAAUACCUUGUUCCUCAGACGACUUUCACAUCAUUCAGGGGUCCUCUCCCCCCCCCCCCCCGCUUCAUUAGAUGAGAAUAAAAAACAGUCCAGCAGAGCCGAAACUCAAAAUAAAAGCCAAACUCAAUGGGCUGAAACGCAGGCUGCACACAUAUUUAUGACUAAAAAUCUACACGGAUGCCUUGCCAAGUCCUCAUAAAAUCCCAAUACUUGGCACGGGAUGCUCGAUUUUACAGUUUUAGCUUCCUUUGGCAUAAUCUGCCAUGUUUUAAUUAAACAGAGAACGCAGAGUGCAUCCCCAGUAGCCCAUGCCUCUAGCCUCAUCUCUUUCAAUGUGCCAUCAUGGAAAUGUAAUUGCAGGAGAAAACGCUUCUCCUGCAUACCUUAGAAGGGUGAGCUAUGUCCAACUAACAGGAUAAGGAAAGAAAUGUUAGAAUAUCAGGAGAUGUGUUAUUUGUAAGGCAGAAGUUCCCACCUCACAGCAUAAGACAACCCCAGGUGUAUCAGACCAAAGGUCUAUCUAUCUGGUUCACCAUUUUCUUACCAUAAAAAGCCCAACAGAUGCUUCUAGCAAAUGUGUGAGCAAAGAACGAAGGUUGCCCUGGCCUUUGUCCAUAGCAUCCUUAAAGGGAUGCUGCCUCUAGACCAAGCAAGAAGAUUCCAUCCAGCUGUCUUGGCUAAUUGCCAUUGAUAGGUCUAUCCUCCAUGAAUCCCUCUAAUCCCUUUUAAAGCCGUCUAAGCCAGCCUCCAUCAUUGCAUUUUGUGCCAGCGAAUUGCAUGUUAUCAAUUAUGUGCUGGUGUGAUUUCCCACCCCCACCCCAUCACGAACCUACCAUCCACCCAUGCCACAUAUAGAGAUGGUGCAAUUCUUAGCUAUCUAAGUACCUUCACACCAUAGGUGCCAAGUCCCUGGGGUCCUGGGUGCCUGAAGACCCACAAAAUUCCACAUUAAGGGGCCGGGCACCUACAAAUUUCAGUGCCAGGGCCAUGCACAUUGCAUGGCACCCAGGGCCCUAGGCACCCACAUUCACAGGGCCAAGUUGGCAUUCCUGCUUCACAUAAUUUAUGGGUACUGUUUGUAUCACACGAUUGGGAGUUUGUCUCACGCUCCUAGUAAUUUUCUGCAGUCUUCCUUAUAUACCUAGAGGGUUGUAUCAAGUGACCUGUUAGAACAAGGAUUUAUGCUUGCACAACACUCAUUCUCCUCCUCCUCCCAUAUGGGCCCCGCACCCUCCCCAAAUUGCAAGAAGCUCCAGAAAAAGAGUUAAAAGGAUUUGGAUUUUCUUAAUCUAAAUUAUCUGAUAAUGUGUUUAUCUGGUAUCUAUGUGUAUGGGUUAUUUAUUUGGAUUUUCUUUUUUGUGUAGCACCUUGAGAUGUGUGGAUAGUAGGUGGUCUACAAAUGAACACCAUCACCAUCAGAAGCUGUCAGGGCUGCCUCAAGUCUCAGCUCACAAAAGACCAACGCCAAUCUCUUCUUAUAUACAAAAGUGUUUAUUGCAAUUCAUUGUUCGCUCCACAUCCGAGGCGCGCAGCCCCACGUCUGUUACACUUAGACCGUUGAAGUACCCUCUGAGUCAGUCCCUCCCCUGCACCAGUUUAAGAAGCUUGCGCUGCUCCACCUCUUCCUCUCUUUCCUUUUCCGCAGGGUCUUCCUGCCCCCUGGGGUUUCGCCCCUCCUGGAUUCCCCUGACGCGGAAUCCCCAGACUGCUCUUCCCCCCUCCUGCGGGCUUUGGGACCUGGCUCCUCCUCCGGGCUCCCUGUACUUCCGCGCGCCUCUACAUUUGAACUUGGCGCGCGCCCAACCUCUAACCUUCCUUUUGACAGUUACACUACUCCCUUCACUACUCCCUCCCUUCCGGGAGGGUGGCUUGCUCCGACCUCCCUCCCUUCUCUGCUGCCGGAGCUGCUUCCCCUGAUACAUUGGAACCUCCACCCCUUUCGCUGCACUCUGGCGGGGAGGCUGGUCCUGACGCCCAGCUGCCACUUUGGGAUCCCCUGCUGGCCCCCUGUUCCUGACACGUCCCCCCGGGGCUCCCCUGGCCCUGACCACCGACGCCCCCUUCUGGGAAUCCUCUGAUUCGCUGGAAAGACUCAUGGAAUCUCUUGAGUCAUUGUCAUCCUCUUCCUCGCUGUCCUGGGAUUCAUCCCCAUCGCUCUCCAUCUCCUGCCUACCCUGUGCCUCUGUCCCUGAACCCCUGACAGAAGCAACCAUAAAUUGUGGUUGCCAAAGCAUAGGUAAGAGAGUUAUAUGCAGAUGGAGGGAGGACAUGGCAUGAUGAGGGAGAGCGGUCACUUUGGUACCUGCUCAAAUCCCUCAGCAGGUAGAUCUAACUUUCCAUUUCUUUUCCUAUGGACCCAUGGAAGAAUCCUGCUCUUUAGCUGCUUUGUUGAAGCUGUAGGAGAAUAUGUGGGCCCAUUGCUAAGCAACAGGCUUUUGAGUUUCACAUUGAACCAAAUCAUUUGAAUACGUAUAGUAAACUCAGCUGAGGAGAUUUGAGUAUUUAUGUCACGAUUGCCUGAAAGCAGACCCACAAGACUACAAAGCCCACAAUGCAAUGUGAUUGCAAGCAAAAUGUCCAUUUGAAGAAGAAUAAGACAAUGAAGAAGAAGAAGAAGCAUCUACUGUAUUCUAUGAAGCAAGUAGUUGAACAUAUUAAAGGAUGGCCGCGGAACUAACUCAAGGAUCAAUAGUCAGAUAUAUUUUCCACUGAGGUCUAUUCUUCAGGACCAGAAAAAUGGAACUGGAAUGUGCUCCCAGGCUUCACACAUGCUUAAUGUAUGCCAUUAUACAUGAAUAAUUUUGCUAUAGUUUCUGUUCUUAUUCUAAAGCACAUAUAAAAAUCUCCUGUCUGAACUUCUAAUGGUUUUCUAAAAUUCAAUUUUGUAAAAAUUAUUUUAUAGAAGGGAG
rnacentral:lncRNA from 1 species